UUCCAGACUCCUACGGGAGGCAGCAGUGGGGAAUAUUGCACAAUGGGGGAAACCCUGAUGCAGCGACGCCGCGUGAGCGAUGAAGGCCUUCGGGUCGUAAAGCCCUGUCAGCAGGGAAGAAAAUGACGGUACCUGAAGAAGAAGCCCCGGCUAACUACGUGCCAGCAGCCGCGGUAAUACGUAGGGGGCAAGCGUUAUCCGGAUUUACUGGGUGUAAAGGGGGCGCAGACGGCGAUGCAAGCCAGGAGUGAAAGCCCGGGGCCCAACCCCGGGACUGCUCUUGGAACUGCGUGGCUGGAGUGCAGGAGGGGCAGGCGGAAUUCCUGGUGUAGCGGUGAAAUGCGUAGAUAUCAGGAGGAACACCGGUGGCGAAGGCGGCCUGCUGGACUGCAACUGACGUUGAGGCCCGAAAGCGUGGGGAGCAAACAGGAUUAGAUACCCGCGCA
rnacentral:rRNA from 1 species